rnacentral:tRNA from 9 species
GGCCCAGUGGCUCAGUUGGUUAGAGUGCCGGCCUGUCACGCCGGAGGUCGAGGGUUCGAACCCCUUCUGGGUCGCCA